rnacentral:rRNA from 1 species
UACGUAGGGCGCAAGCGUUAUCCGGAAUUAUUGGGCGUAAAGAGCUCGUAGGCGGUUUGUCGCGUCUGCCGUGAAAGUCCGGGGCUCAACUCCGGAUCUGCGGUGGGUACGGGCAGACUAGAGUGAUGUAGGGGAGACUGGAAUUCCUGGUGUAGCGGUGAAAUGCGCAGAUAUCAGGAGGAACACCGGUGGCGAAGGCGGGUCUCUGGGCCGAUACUGACGCUGAGACGCGAAAGCCAGGGGAGCGAACGGG